AAUUGUGGUAAAUUGGUUUGGUAAUGCCUAUUUUGACGGAAGAAACCUGAAAGAAAAAGGUGCCCGUGCUGUGCUUAUUAAGGCAAAUAUUAAAGAAUAAUUUUGAGAAUGUUUCUUUAUUUCACUUCAAUCUUCUCUUCAAAUUUUAGAAAAUGGUGGUCUUCCAAAUCCAUAAAAUUUGAUAAUGCUGUGUUUCAUAAAUGAGAAUGCCCGAGAACUGUUUGAUUAAAUGCCAAAAAGAGAUAUCUUCUCAUGUUACUUUAUGAGAAACCAGAUAUUCAUGAACUGGGGAAUCUCAUCAGUGGAGCAGGAAAUAAUUC
rnacentral:lncRNA from 1 species